rnacentral:misc_RNA from 1 species
GAUGAAGAACGUAGCGAAAUGCGAUAAGUAAUGUGAAUUGCAGAAUUCAGUGAAUCAUCGAAUCUUUGAAUGCACAUUGCGCCCCUUGGUAUUCCGAGGGGCAUGCCUGUUCGAGCGUCAUUAUAACCCCUCAAGCUCAGCUUGGUGUUGGGGCCUGCUGCACUGGCAGCCCUUAAAAUCAGUGGCGGCGCCGUCUGGCUCUAAGCGUAGUAAUUCUUCUCGCUAUGGAGUCCUGGUGGAUGCUUGCCAUCAACCCCCAAUUUUUCUAUGGUUGACCUCGGAUCAGGUAGGGAUACCCGCUGAACUUAAGCAUAUCAAUAAGCGGAGGA